rnacentral:rRNA from 1 species
UCCGGACUCCUACGGGAGGCAGCAGUGGGGGAUAUUGCACAAUGGGGGGAACCCUGAUGCAGCGACGCCGCGUGGGUGAAGGAGCGUUUCGGCGCGUAAAGCCCUAUCGGCAGGGAAGAAGAUGACGGUACCUGACCAAGAAGCCCCGGCUAACUACGUGCCAGCAGCCGCGGUAAUACGUAGAGGGCAAGCGUUAUCCGGAUUUACUGGGUGUAAAGGGAGCGUAGACGGAAUAGCAAGUCUGAUGUGAAAACCCGGGGCUCAACUCCGGGAGUGCAUUGGAAACUGUUGAUCUAGAGUGUCGGAGAGGCAAGCGGAAUUCCUAGUGUAGCGGUGAAAUGCGUAGAUAUUAGGAGGAACACCAGUGGCGAAGGCGGCUUGCUGGACGAUGACUGACGUUGAGGCUCGAAAGCGUGGGGAGCAAACAGGAUUAGAUACCCCUGUA